rnacentral:rRNA from 1 species
CCCUUAGAUGUUCUGGGCCGCACGCGCGCUACACUGUUCGACGCAGCGAGUCUUAACCUUGACCGAAAGGUUUGGGUAAUCUUCAGCAAAGUCGGACGUGAUGGGGAUCGAUCAUUGCAAUUAUUGAUCGUGAACGAGGAAUUCCUAGUAAGUGCAAGUCAUCAGCUUGCGCUGAUUACGUCCCUGCCCUUUGUACACACCGCCCGUCGCUACUACCGAUUGAAUGGUUUAGUGAGAUCUCUGGAUUGACGCUGGCUAGGGGGCGACCCUUGGCCAGACUGUUGAGAAACUGCUCAAACUUGAUCAUUUAGAGGAAGUAAAAGUCGUAACA